AAAUUGAAGAGUUUGAUCAUGGCUCAGAUUGAACGCUGGCGGCAGGCCUAACACAUGCAAGUCGAACGGUAGCACAGAGAGCUUGCUCUCGGGUGACGAGUGGCGGACGGGUGAGUAAUGUCUGGGAAACUGCCUGAUGGAGGGGGAUAACUACUGGAAACGGUGGCUAAUACCGCAUAACGUCGCAAGACCAAAGAGGGGGACCUUCGGGCCUCUUGCCAUCAGAUGUGCCCAGAUGGGAUUAGCUGGUUGGUGAGGUAACGGCUCACCAAGGCGACGAUCCCUAGCUGGUCUGAGAGGAU
rnacentral:rRNA from 1 species